rnacentral:rRNA from 1 species
AUGGCGGCGAUGGGGCAGGAGGGGGACGACGUCGACCACUACGAGGUGCUCUGCCUGCCGUCCGGCGAGGAAGGCGCGGCGCUGAGCGUCGAGCAGAUCGAGAAGGCCUACCGGACGCAGUCGCGGCUCCGGCACCCCGACAAGCGCCCCGACGACCCCAACGCCACCGCUGACUUCCAGAGCCUCGCCAGCUCAUACAAGUUCCUCCGGGACGAGUCCCUCCGCCGUCAGUUUGACGUCCGCCUCCGUGGCCGCCGCGAGGCCGCAGCCCGCGCCGCGGCCACCGGGGUCAAGCGGCGGAAGGCCGUGUCCGACCUAGAGGAGCGCGAGCGCGCCUUCGCCGCCGGCGGAGGCCCCGCCGUCGACCCCGUCGAGCUGGCCAGGCGAGAGGAUAAGCGGAAGGCUGCCGACGUCAAGCGCGAACUCGACGAGUUCUUCGCUGCCAAGAAGUCAGGCGUCUCUGGCUCUGCUUCGACUCCGGCACAUGGAGAUAAGAAGGGUGCAACUCCAGAGAACGGACCAAAAACGGACAAGGGUAAGAUCUUGAAGGUUUCUUGGGAAGGGGGUGCAGAUUACUACACUGCAGCAAAGCUUGAUGAGAUAUUUAAGCAAUUCGGCACGGUUGAAGACAUUGUGAUCAAGACUAGGAAAUCAAAGAGCAAGGGUUCAGCAAUUGUUGUCAUGGCUUCCAAGGAGGCGGCACAAACUGCACUGAAGAACCAUUCUGUGUACAAUGUUUUCCCUGUCCCAUUGAUUGUUGCUUCUGUUCAAGAAUCGGGAGGGCUACCGGCAAGGUCAACUCAAACACCUGAACCGAGGACAAGCAACAUUGAUGGAACCGGGUUCAGCGAUUUGGAAGCAUCGGUAUUCCGAAAACUUCAAGAGGCCCAGAAAAGGAAGAAAUCUGGAUAA